rfam:Peptostreptococcaceae bacterium oral taxon 113 str. W5053 genomic scaffold Scaffold379, whole genome shotgun sequence.
GGGGGCGACAUGGCUUCGACGGGGAUAGAGAACGAAAAGUAGCGAGUCGUUGAGCAGACAACGAUAAAACAUGCACCUAAAAUUAAACGCAGAAGAUAAUUUUGCAUUAGCAGCUUAGUCUGCUUGUCACCCUUAAGAGUCCUGCGACUUAAGACGUGGCAUCAUUGAAAGCAGGGAACCGCAUGCGGCUAAGCUUUGCCCCGCAGACGGAAUCUGAUGAAGCUACCGAAUAUGGACUUCUGUUUGUCAUAGUUCAUAUAAGGGAAUUGAAAUGACAAACUGCACUCGGAGAAACUUUUCCGGAACUGUUUUCGGACGUGGGUUCGACACCCACCGCCUCCACCA